ACAGAUUCUCGCCCCGGCUGCUUUACCACCCGGGAAAGCGCCCACUGGUUCCCAUUGAAUAGGAUGUUGGGUGGACCCCAUUGGCAGUCUAAAUGAUAUGGUGAAAGGGAAAUUUUUGUUCCAACAGGGACUCGAACUCUGACCUUUUGGCCGUCCAGGCCGUAGCUAGUCGCUAUCCCAGCCUACAAUACAUUAGUGGUACGCUAUUAAAUUAUACCUUUCCACCGUGAAUUUUGUGUCAACCAUGAAUUCAUACGACAUCCUUUCAUAGAUGCUCACCGAACUAUACUUGCGGGGACAUUAAUUGACAGGUAUGAUAUUUAUUUUGCCAUCCGUGCAUUAUAUGUUGGCAACCAUGGUUUUGAAGGUGAAGGCAGGGUGAGUGUUAGUUUAUGCCAACGUUUUGUAUCAUAAUUGUGUGUGUGAAAUGUAUGGUUGAAUGACGUAAUUUUCGGCAAUAUGCUUUCAUACGAAGAACAAGGUGACAUUGGGCUUAUUUCCAAUGAUGGAAGAUUUCUCAAAUGAAGAAAUGCCUCGGAAUCAGCCUUCUGUGAGGCAUUGGCUGCGAUACAUUGAACACAAGAAGGAGAGUCCUGAACACACUGUUAAUGUUAUCUUUGAAAGAGCCCUGAAGGAGUUACCAGGAAGCUAUAAAUUGUGGUACAGUUAUCUUGGUCUUCGAAGGAGACAAAUCAAGGGACGCUGCAUUACGGAUCCCUCAUAUGAAGAUGUAAAUAAUGCGUUUGAGAGGUCAUUGGUUUUCAUGUAUAAGGUGAGUUUUUUGUGUGUGUGCCGUGUAUGUGUGCGUGCGUGCGUGAAGGUGUGAACUCACAGUUAGAAAUCGAAACUGUAUAUGAAGUUGGAAUUCUGUUCAAAUUUGAAGUCUGAAGAAAAAUGCUGAGUAGGUUUUUAUGUACUAUAGUUUUGUAUUGGCAACAUUCAUUGCACGGCAUUGAUGAAAUUUAACUUCAGUACUUAAUGAAAUGGUUCCAGGCCAUAUUGCCCUGUCUAGAUUAGAAGUAAACUUGAACAAUACCUCGUUCAAUAUCUCCAUAUCAAGAGUACAAACUGGCACAUCUGAUAUAAUACAUUAUUUGCAUGCUUAAAAAAAAAAUAGAAAAUACUAUAAAAAUAAUUGCAAUAUUCUGCAAUAGUAUUUGAAUCUAAUUUGGGACUGCAGGGGCGUGCAGUGGACCACUCACCUCCAUCUAGUGCCAAAUGUGUCAGAUUUAUAGUUGCAAUGUUUUAUUUUCACUGACCAAGCCCCAUAGUGUACUGUCAUGGUGCUGUUAAAUAGUUUAAUGAUGUUUAAAUGUACAGAAUUAUCAGUUGGAAGUGUUCACAGUGGUUCUGAAUUUUCUUGUACACUGCCACAUACACCGUUCAUGUUGAAACAAA